UGCAUGGUAGCAGAGUGGUUUGGGCCUGUGGCUUGAAACAGGAGGUCUGGGGUUCGAUCCCUGACCAUCCCU
rnacentral:tRNA from 1 species